AUACAAUAUACAGAUGAGGUAUUAUAGAAUUGUACACCUGAAACCUAUAUAAUUUUAUUAACUGAUGUUACCUCAGUAAAUUCAAAAGAAAUUUAUUGUGGGCAGGUUU